GUAACUUCCAAAUUUUGACAUCUUGAGUCAAAACCCUGAUUAUUCUGCUUUUUUUUUUUUGCAGCUUUCAUGAGAGGCCUUUCCCUUUCCCCCACUUCCCAGCUACUGUCAUUUCUCCCUCAAGAUGUGGUCUGGAUGGAGGCCCAGAAGUGUCUGCCAUUGACUGUACUCCAAGUUCAGGAAGGUGCAGUGGGCAGAUGAGAACAUUUUGUUCCAACAUCCUUGAAGAUGGCUGAAGCUGCAAUGGUGGAUUGCUUAGAACUUGAUCAGACAUCAAAGAUGCCAAGGCCAUCCACUGUACCCUGAGUCAUCAAAAACCAUCCUGACUUCUGUUUUGCCACUGGACUUAGAUGACUGGAAGAGAGAGUGAAGCUGAUGACUUUGUGUAACUUUGCCUCAUUUAAAUCCAAAUCAUUCACAAGUCAACUCAUGAUGUGUCAUUGGUUCUCUUCAAAAUGGAAGACAAUAAUAACUCAUAUAGAACCUGACUGUGUCCUGUAACCAAUGCAGUUUUUUCAGUAUAUAGUUUAUGUUUAUCCUCUCAAAGAGGUCUCAUUUUAGGUAGACCAUCUAUAUAUGUUGGUCCUAGGUUUGAAUCAGUAUAAUAGUAUGGUUAAAUCAUAGAAUUUAAAAUUAGAAGGGAUCUUAGCAACCAGUCUAAUCAAUCCAAAGGGAAAAAAAGAAAACUAUUUGUUUUUAAGGAAUUUAUAUCCUAUUAGCAAAGACAACACACAUACAUAUAUAUAUAUAUAUUUAUAUACACAAAUAUAUAAAUAUGUAACAGUUUUUUGACUGUUUAGGAAAGAACACCAGUAAUUAUGGAAGAGGUGAGGAAAGAGUUUGUGUACAAGGUUGUACAAGAACAGAAUCUUGAAGGAAAUCAAGAAUUCUAUGAGGUGGAGGUAAGGAUAGAAGACAUUUAAGACACAGGUGGCAGGCAGUGAAAACAUGGAAAUAGCAGAUGAUAGCUGUGUAUGAAGAAGAAGAAGGCCAUGUUGACUAAUCUGGAAAGUGUGAAAAAGGAAGGACAAUAAUGAAAUUGAAAAGAUAGGUUCAAGCCAGGUGAUAAAGUUUAAAAUGGAAACAUAAGAGUUCUAUAUUUAUUGUAUUCUAGAAACAAUAGGGAGACACUCAUUUUAUAGAAAAGGAAACCGAUAUUCCCAAGAGGGAAAGUGACUUGGCCCAGAUCAUGUGAGAUAGU
rnacentral:lncRNA from 1 species